AGAGAGGUAGAGUGGCACAGACUGUAAUUACAAACAAAAUGAAAAUUAUUUAGUUAUAAAACAAUCAUGAACUAAUUAAAUUGGAUAAAAAAAAAUGUCUCUCUCGAUGACCACAUGUUCUUGUCUUGUCAAGGUUUCUAGGGUUAAAAUCAAUCUUUGUUUUCAAUUAACUCGAAAAUCAAACAAAGAAAAACGAGGCAAAUAUUUCUUUUCACAUUUAACAAGCUAUUAUUAGGUAGCCAAUUUUCUAUUCAACGCCGUAGCAUCGCAAGUAGUAAACUUUUAGCUGAAUAAGAAAGAUGCCAGAGAAGUCACAAAGAAAAUAUGGCUGAAAUUUAUUAUUAUUAUUUUUUUUUAAGUGAAAAAAGAACAGAAGAUAGUUUCUAAAGCAAAUCAAGUAACUCCGGUCGGCCAAGCAAUUAGAGAAUCAAGUGUAAAAUCAACUGAAUUUAACUUUUUCAUAAAUGAGAAACGCUAUCAGGAAGCAUUUCUUCUGACUUGAUAAAACAUCAAUGCUUUUUUGGCACACAUUCAGGAUCCCUUGAGCUAAUCAAACAAGAAUUUAUGCUAUCUUCCAGAAGUAAGAUGAAUAAAUGAGGUGCUAAUGCAGCUUUAUGUUGAUAAAAGAAGAGUGAGUUAAGUUUUUCAUUUUUUUUUAAAAAGGUUUUGUAUGGCCCACAAAAAGGCCCCUUUCAUAAGCACUCCUGAUGAACCUAGCACAAAUCAACGCCAAUCUCAUCUUCAUUUAACAAUGACUAUUCUCCUUCUUAAACUGAUUACUUUGAAUUUGUUGAAAUAAUCAAGGAAACCAGACCAAUUCAGGAAUAUCUUGUCUGGAACUACUAAAUUCAUACUGCUUCUUUAAGAAAGCAAGGCCAGGCAAAGGAGUUAAAAUGAAAAAUUGAACAUUAAUCUGCCAAACUGAAACGCCCAUAGUUAGUAUUCUCCUCCUAAACAAAAAGGCACAGUUCCAAACCUUAUAUAACCUUGGUUUACCUUCAAAAACUUCCAUCCAAACCGUGUAAGGGAGAAAUUGCAAUGGCAAAAGCUGCAGAACUAUAGCAUUAUAGUAUAGACAAACAUAAACUUUAUUCUACAUUGGAGUCACUUGGAGUAUGAUAUUCUUAAUUUUGAAAUCUCAAAAGACAAACCAAAUCCUAUUUGACCUAAAGAUAGAAAAUAAUUAUCAUAUACUCCCAAUCAUGCUAGGAGACAAUAAUAUGCAAUUGAAAAGAUGUCAUUGAUGACCACAAAGUAACAAUAAAUAGUCCGUGAACAUAACAUAUAAUGAAAAGUUUCAAAGAAUAACUGAUUAAGAAGAUAAAAAAAAUAAGUUGAAUCACAUUAGUUAAACCAGUAAAAGAAAGAAAAAAAAAUAGUACUACAAUAACUCAGAAAGUUCAGUAUCAAACAUAAUGAAAGAGAGAAAAACGAUCUAUAUAACUGUUCUCAAUUAAUUGGAAAUUGAAGCCUAGUUAAGUUUAACUGAGUCUACACUAUGGCAUAAAAUAACAGGCACCAUGUUUUAUGCAUCAAGUUCACAUUAUUUCUAGUAAAAUUUAAUGCAAAUGAAAACAAGAAUUUUUAAUGAAAAAAGUUCUUACAAAAUGGCAAAAAUAGUUAGACUGCACACCAUAUCCACAUGAUGCAUGGAAGUGAUUGUAACAUAAUUUAAAUGGCCCACUAAAAGCAUGUGAGAGUAUGUUUAAUGGAAUUAGGCUCAAGCCAAAAUAGUAACCUCAAAGUUUAAGCUUUCAAGUAGGCCUCUACAUUUUCUCGGAAAUUCAAAUAUGUCACAGUUUACUGAUUAAUAGGCAACUGAAGCUACAAGCAAGCAUAGUUUACCAUUUAUGACACAAGAUAAUUGGCCAUUUUUGUUAGUUGGACUCAAGCAUAAGUGCCAAAUAUGCAUAAAUAUUCAAGGUUCUAUCUAGGCUAUCUUCCACAUUUUUCCAUUAAUUUGAAGUUUAAAAGCAUCCUACAUGCCAAAAAGUAACUUCCAUAUCUUUUGAACUAAAAAUUGCUAUAAGCAUAAAAGAGACAAAAAUUGCUAGUAUCGACUCCAAACUAUGGUUCACUUUUUUAACUACUACAGCAAUUAUACAUAUAUAUUGAUACAUUGGAGCCAUAGCUUCAUUAAGAAUCAUAUUAUUUAAAAAAUUCUAAAGAAAAUGGAGAGUUGGUUGCCUUCUCUAUAAAAGGAGGCACUCCUCCUUUUUCAUCUUAUCAUAAAAUAAAUAAUAAUAAUGACAAUAAUAAAUAAGGGACUAGACUCCCACACUAGCCUUUGCCUACGGAAAGGUGCCACACUUCUAUCUAAUCUCAUUGGCAAGUGGGCUAUUUAUAAGAUAAACAUGUUUAAUAAAUGGUGGGCUAAGUUCAAAACCUGAAGUGUAAUGAAUAAAAGAAUAUUUGAAGUGAUUGAACAUUCUUGAAUUGUUGAAUUGAAAAGAAGAAUUUGUGAAUUGAAUAUUCAUAGUUGCAAAUUCAUCUCACUUUCACUCUAGAGUAGACUACUCUACGGAGUUCAUCAUUCACAAUAGUUCAUUACUCAAGUAAACAAAUCAAAUAUCCUAGGUCAAAACACAUCAGGCAUCGUACAAAAGCUAAACAUGAACCAAGCACAUCUAAAGAAGGUACACAAGCGUCAAGAAAGGUUUAGAUAGAUUAGUGUUGGUCAAUAUGGUUUGUCUAUAUAGAAUGAAGAGAAACAUUGAAGUCCUAGUAGCAAUAUUUAAUAAGUGAUAACACAUAGCCAAAGGUUAAAUGUGGUCCAAAACAAGAGGAAGGCUAGCAUAUACUAUGCAGUGAGUAGGAUUCAUGUUCCGUGCCAUACAACUUGAUGUAGAGAAUAUAUCAUGCAAGUAAUGGAGAUCCACUAGAAUAAGAGGGAAAACAAGAUUCAAUUCCAAAAAAUGUCCAACAGCAAAAAUGGUCCAGUGACCUCCUGAUUGGCAUAAGUUCCUAAUGCAGAUAGGGAAUUCAAAAAAAUUCAAAUUCCACAUAGGGAAUUCAAAAAAAUUCUAAUUCCAAUAAUCAAGAAGCUUAGGAUUAUGGUUCAGUUUCAAUGUAGGGUUUAUUGAGGAAAUUAUUGAUUCCUAGUUCUUUUAGAAUUUUACUGGUGUCUAUUUAAAUAAAUUAGCUGCUAGUCCUCAAUUUAAUUCUUAAGGGUAAUUUUGUAACUUUCAGCUUUACUGGAAGAUCUGUCUUGAUAUUUUUAGGAGUCUUUUUUUUCUGAGUCAUAAUUUGAGUCCUUAUUGGUCUUAGAAUAAUAGUAUUUCUUUUAGUUUCCCUUUAGUUGUCCAAAUCUUUAAAGGAUGAGGACUAGUUUUGGAGUUUUAACGUCUUAAAGGUUUAGGAUCAAUUUGAAUCUAUAAAUACCUAUGUUUGUAAUGUCUAUAAUUGAGUUCUUAAUCAAUAAGAAUUCCUGCAAGUUGCUUCUAGAAUUGCGUGAUAGAAUUCUAAUCUUGGGUGUGAUGCCAAAGGAAGUUUAGGUAUGAAGCCUAGAGCCCUAGUACCAUUUAUUUCACUGUUAACAGUGCCUAACCAACACUGCAAACACUUUAUAGCCCUCUACUUUUACUUCCUAAACCUAUUCCUCUACAAACCCUAAUUGUCCAUCUAAAUUCUUAAUCACUUCAGCCUACAAAUAAGCUACAAAUUCAACCUCAAGCCUCAGUCCUGCAAGCUGCCCUGCAUCAAUACAUAUAUUAGGAAACAUGAAAUCCAACAAACUAUUAAAAGGUGUUACCAAUUGCAACAUCUUAGUUAAUGUAAGCCACUGCUUAAUAGUGAAAUUCAAAUGAGAUAAGGAUUGAUACAAAUCAAUUCCUUCACAUGAAUAUUACUUUAAAUAUGACUUCUCAUGAAGAAAGUGUCACAUUAUUCUAAUUGUUCAUUUGUGAUUGGUUCUGAAGAAAAAAGGAUGCCCCUUAGAUCUUCUUAGAUAUAAGUGCUUGCCAGUUGUCACACAAAAAAAAAAGUGACCCAUUACAUGAAACAUCCCACACUUGUGUGCUCUAGAGAGGUACGUUGCUAGACCAACCCACAAGCGAGAACUAAUGGUUUCGCCAGCCUCACGGCUCAGACCAGUUCCGAUUUGCAACGGUUUAAGUUCAUAAUAGUUCCAGUUCAAUUCACAGUUCGACCUCGAUUCUAAUGUAAAAAGAAUUAAAGGGAUCCAAUAAAAAUAUGAAUUGGGUUGGUUCCAGUCUAGUUUCAAGAAGGAGGGACGGAAACCGACCUCCUUAUACCCAGUUCCAAGCCAGUUGUUAAAACGGGACCUUUGACCCAGUCCGAUCCGAAAUUUGACCAAACCUAUCUAGCCUAGUUCAUGGUUCAAACUAGCCUGUGGUCAGGUUUAUACAUAGCCUUACCCUUACUUUGCAAAGAGGCUAUUUCCAUGACUCAAACCUAUGACCUCCAGGCCAUAAGUGGAGAACCUUUACUAUCACACCAAAGCCACCCACGCAUAAUUGUCACAAUAUAUAUAUAUAUAUAUAU
rnacentral:misc_RNA from 1 species